UACGUAGGGGGCAAGCGUUGUCCGGAUUUAUUGGGCGUAAAGAGCGUGUAGGCGGUUCGGUAAGUCCGCUGUAAAAGUCCAGGGCUCAACCCUGGAAAGCCGGUGGAAACUGUCGAACUAGAGUCCGGAAGAGGCGAGUGGAAUUCCUGGUGUAGCGGUGAAAUGCGCAGAUAUCAGGAAGAACACCAAUGGCGAAGGCAGCUCUCUGGGACGGUACUGACGCUGAGACGCGAAAGCGUGGGGAGCGAACAGG
rnacentral:rRNA from 1 species